CCAUAGUUUUGCACCUCACUUGACACACACAUGCCAAGUUUGGUUGUCAUACGAUGCUUUUAACGGACGGACAUCGAGUCACGAAAACUCGAGUCAAUGGGUUAUCAAUAUUUGUUACCAUAUUUGUUUUGUAUAACCCUUUUUUUAGGUAUGGGGCUCACGUGGCGCUUUUUGUGGGAGCUCCGCUAAAAAGACACCAAAGGAUAACUAUUUCACGCCUCCUUAUGUGGUUAGCAUUUCAAUUCGAGACACUGUGCGUGGGAUAUAGAAAGGGAUAUGCUGGCAUAUGUUUACAAACCAGUGCUGCAAAAUGAACUAGACAUCUUCUGUGAUACUGUGUGGAAUGGCCAUCGUGUUAGAUACCAGCAUGAUUCAGAGUUACCUAAAGGAGUUCCCAACCACCUUCACGGCUUCCCUAAAACAUAUAGCUCUUCAGAUUGCAGUAAGGUGGAAUUAUGUAACCAUAGCCCAUUUUUGGUUACAAAAUUCCACCUUACCGCAAUGUUAAUACCUACUCAUACAUUUAAUUCAGCUUAUUUAGAGUCAGGUGAUUGCCUGUCAGUAUAAAAUCAGCAUCAGUUGCUGGGAUGCCAAAGUGAAUAUAAAUCAUGGGGAUUUAGAUAUGUAGACUGGGGGUCAAAAAAAGUAUAUAUCCAUUACCCAUUUCUAGGGUGGUAUUAACUUUUCCAACAGUCACUUGAUGAUGCAGCACAACAAUUGGGGGUGUUAAAUGGCAAUACAGAUUCCCUGGAACUAGCUGUCAGAAGGGAGUGUGAAAGUGUAGUUCCAGACAUUGAUGGAUACAGAGCAAAGAUGGAGUUGAAACUUAUUUAUUCUUGAAAGCCAUUAUCAGCACUUGUUUUAUAACAAUUUGAAUCAUAUUUAAAAUU